rnacentral:rRNA from 1 species
AUACGUAGGGUGCAAGCGUUAAUCGGAAUUACUGGGCGUAAAGCGUGCGCAGGCGGUUUUGUAAGACAGUGGUGAAAUCCCCGGGCUCAACCUGGGAACUGCCAUUGUGACUGCAAGGCUGGAGUGCGGCAGAGGGGGAUGGAAUUCCGCGUGUAGAAGUGAAAUGCGUAGAUAUGCGGAGGAACACCGAUGGCGAAGGCAAUCCCCUGGGCCUGCACUGACGCUCAUGCACGAAAGCGUGGGGAGCAAACAGGAUUAGAUACCCUGGUAGUCCACGCCCUAAACGAUGUCAACUGGUUGUUGGGGAUUUAUUUUCUCAGUAACGAAGCUAACGCGUGAAGUUGACCGCCUGGGGAGUACGGCCGCAAGGUUAAAACUCAAAUGAAUUGACGGGG